AGUGAACGCUGGCGGUAGGCCUAACACAUGCAAGUCGAACGGCAGCACAGUAAGAGCUUGCUCUUACGGGUGGCGAGUGGCGGACGGGUGAGGAAUACAUCGGAAUCUACUUUUUCGUGGGGGAUAACGUAGGGAAACUUACGCUAAUACCGCAUACGACCUACGGGUGAAAGCAGGGGAUCUUCGGACCUUGCGCGAUUGAAUGAGCCGAUGUCGGAUUAGCUAGUUGGCGGGGUAAAGGCCCACCAAGGCGACGAUCCGUAGCUGGUCUGAGAGGAUGAUCAGCCACACUGGAACUGAGACACGGUCAAGACGCCUAAGGGAGGCAGCAGUGGGGAAUAUUGGACAAUGGGCGCAAGCAUGAUCCAGCCAUACCGCGUGGGUGAAGAAGGCCUUCGGGUUGUAAAGCCCUUUUGUUGGGAAAGAAAAGCAGCAGGUUAAUACCCCGCUGUUCUGACGGUACCCAAAGAAUAAGCACCGGCUAACUUCGUG
rnacentral:rRNA from 1 species